AUUGAACGCUGGCGGCAGGCCUAACACAUGCAAGUCGAGCGCGAAAGCCUUUCGGGGUGAGUAGAGCGGCGGACGGGUGAGUAACGCGUAGGAAUCUACCUAGUAGUGGGGGACAACCUGUGGAAACGCAGGCUAAUACCGCAUACGCCCUAAGGGGGAAAGCGGGGGAUCUUCGGACCUCGUGCUAUUAGAUGAGCCUGCGUAAGAUUAGCUAGUUGGUGAGGUAAAGGCUCACCAAGGCGACGAUCUUUAGCUGGUCUGAGAGGAUGAUCAGUCACACUGGAACUGAGACACGGUCCAGACUCCUACGGGAGGCAGCA
rnacentral:rRNA from 1 species